CAGCCCAGAAUACUCCCCCAGACUCUCCUCCUGAACUGUAUGAAAUCUAUUUUGCAUUGAAUGGCUGGAGGCCUUCUCAGGAAGCUGCUUAGAAGAUUGCUGAAGGACUCCUGCUGUUACAUUUAGUUGAGUUUCUUUCCUUUUUCUCCAAGUUAUCCCCUUAUUAGAGAAUCCUGUAAAACCAGGAGGAAGGAGAGGCAAGUUUUCUGGCUAGCUUAUAGUCCUUCUGUCUCUCAUUAAGGCCUCUU
rnacentral:lncRNA from 1 species